rnacentral:rRNA from 1 species
CAAUAGCGUAUAUUAAAGUUGUUGCAGUUAAAAAGCUCGUAGUUGGACCUUUGGCAAGGAGGCGUGGCUCAGAAUACUGUACCGCGCCGCCGAGCCUCUUUUGGGGGAAGCGCCAUUUAUGGCGGCGAACCCGGGUUACUGUGAAGAAAUUAGAGUGUUUAAAGCAGGCAAUCGCUUGAAUACAUCAGCAUGGAAUAACAAGAUAGGACUUGGUUCUACUUGUUGGUUUGGGAGCCAGAGUAAUGAUUAAUAGGGCCAGUUGGGGGCAUUAGUAUUUAGCAGUCAGAGGUGAAAUUCUUGGAUUUGCUAAAGACUAACUAAUGCGAAAGCAUUUGCCAAGGAUGUUUUCAUUAAUCAAGAACGAAAGUUAGGGGAUCGAAGAUGAUUAGAUACCAU